rnacentral:rRNA from 1 species
AUUGAACGCUGGCGGCAGGCCUAACACAUGCAAGUCGCACGAGUGGCGGACGGGUGAGUAAUGGCUGGGAAACUGCCUGAUGGAGGGGGAUAACUACUGGACACGGUAGCUAAUACCGCAUACCAUCAGAUGGGCCCAGACGGGAUUAGCUGGUUGGUGGGGUAACGGCGCACCAAGGCGACGAUCCCUAGCUGGUCUGAGAGUAUGACCAGCCACACUGGAACGGAGACACGGUCCAGACGCCUACGGGAGGCAGCAGUGGUGAAUAUUGCACAAUGGGCGCAAGCCUGAUGCAGCCAGGCCGCGUGUAUGAAGAAGGCCUUCGGGUUGUAAAGUACUUUCAGCGGGGAGGCGUUACCCGCAGAAGAAGCACCGGCUAACUCCGUGCCAGCAGCCGCGGUAAUUC